AAAGUCGUAACAAGGUUUCCGUAGGUGAACCUGCGGAAGGAUCAUUAUUGAAACUUGAAUCGUAGCAUUGAGAACUGUUGCUGACCUGUUAAAGGGUAUGUGCACGUUCGACGUGUUGCGUUCUAUUCAUCCACCUGUGCACCUUUGUAGACUUGAUUAACUUUCGCUCUCGAGCGGUUAGAAGGGUUGCUUUGAGUUCCCUUUGUCAUCAAGUCUAUGUCUUUAUAAUCUCUUAUAUGUCUAGAAUGUCUUGUUUAUGGGGACGCAAGGUCCCUUUUAAAACUCUUAUUAACAA
rnacentral:misc_RNA from 1 species